rnacentral:lncRNA from 1 species
GGUAUGGCAUGAGAGUGGAUGUCGGAGGACAGCUUUUGGGACUUUGUUCUCCCCACACCAUGUGGGACCUGAUGGUUUCCAGCUGAACGACUAGACUUCCUGGUUUCCCUUGUGGAUUAGGGAAGCCAUUUCUACCUCCAUAAGGGACUGAAGCCCAUGUUCUACAGAAGUUUUGGCCAUCUGCACAUUGUCACAGACACACCAUAGAAGCAGAUGCUGCUGUCUGCUGUACCUCCAAACCAUCCCAAAGAAGAAUUUUUUUUCACCAGUCAAUAAACACUGAGUACAUUGGAAUAUGCAC